rnacentral:rRNA from 1 species
UACGAAGGGCGCUAGCGUUGUUCGGAAUCACUGGGCGUAAAGCGCCCGUAGGCGGCUGUGUCAGUCCGGGGUGAAAUCCCGGAGCUCAACUUCGGAACUGCCUCUGAUACAGCACGUCUUGAGUCCGAUAGAGGUGGGUGGAAUUCCUAGUGUAGAGGUGAAAUUCGUAGAUAUUAGGAAGAACACCGGUGGCGAAGGCGGCCCACUGGAUCGGUACUGACGCUGGGGCACGAAAGCGUGGGGAGCAAACAGG